AGGAUUAGAUACCCUGGUAGUCCGCACAGUAAACGAUGAAUGCUAGCUGUUGGCGAUACACAGUCAGUGGCACAGCGAAAGCGUUAAGCAUUCCACCUGGGGAGUACGCCGGCAACGGUGAAACUCAAAGGAAUUGACGGGGGCCCGCACAAGCGGAGGAACAUGUGGUUUAAUUCGAUGAUACGCGAGGAACCUUACCCGGGCUUGAAUUGCAUCUGAAUAUGCCGGAAACGGUAUAGCUAGCAAUAGCAGAUGUGAAGGUGCUGCAUGGUUGUCGUCAGCUCGUGCCGUGAGGUGUCGGCUUAAGUGCCAUAACGAGCGCAACCCUCAUCAUUAGUUACUAACAGGUCAAGCUGAGGACUCUAAUGAGACUGCCGGCGUAAGCUGUGAGGAAGGUGGGGAUGACGUCAAAUCAGCACGGCCCUUACGUCCGGGGCGACACACGUGUUACAAUGGGGGGGACAGCAGGCUGCGAAGUGGUGACACCGAGCGAAUCCUCAAACCCUCUCUCAGUUCGGAUCGAAGUCUGCAACCCGACUUCGUGAAGCUGG
rnacentral:rRNA from 1 species